UGGGGCAGAUGAUUGGGGUGAAGUCGUAACAAGGUAGCCGUAUCGGAAGGUGCGGCUGGAUCACCUCCUUUCUA
rnacentral:rRNA from 1 species